UAACAACCUGGAAACAAGAUGCUAAUACCGGAUAACAAACAGAUGAUGCCUAUCAACUGUUUAAAAGAUGGUUCUGCUAUCACUCUUGGAUGGACCUGCGGUGCAUUAGCUAGUUGGUAGGGUAACGGCCUACCAAGGCGAUGAUGCAUAGCCGAGUUGAGAGACUGAUCGGCCACAUUGGGACUGAGACACGGCCCAAACUCCUACGGGAGGCAGCAGGU
rnacentral:rRNA from 1 species